AUCUGGCGGUCUUUGGCCGUCCGAGUUGUAGUCUGGAGAAGUGCUUUCCGCGCUGGACCGUGUAUAAGUCUCUUGGAACAGAGCGUCAUAGAGGGUGAGAAUCCCGUCUUUGACACGGACUACCAGUGCUUUGUGAUGCGCUCUCGAAGAGUCGAGUUGUUUGGGAAUGCAGCUCAAAAUGGGUGGUAAAUUCCAUCUAAAGCUAAAUAUUGGCGAGAGACCGAUAGCGAACAAGUACCGUGAGGGAAAGAUGAAAAGCACUUUGGAAAGAGAGUUAAACAGUACGUGAAAUUGCUGAAAGGGAAACGCUUGAAGUCAGUCGCGCCUGCCAGAACUCAGCCUUGCUUUUGCUUGGUGCAUUUUCUGGUAGGCGGGCCAGCAUCGAUUUCGACCGUCGGAGAAGGGCUGGAGAAAUGUGGCACCUCCGGGUGUGUUAUAGUCUCUGGUCGCAUACGGCGGUUGGGAUCGAGGAACGCAGCGCGCCGCAAGGCAGGGGUUCGCCCACUUUCGCGCUUAGGAUGCUGGCGUAAUGGCUUUAAACGACCCGUCUUGAAACACGGACCAAGGAGUCUAACAUGCCUGCGAGUGUUUGGGUGGUAAACCCGAGCGCGUAAUGAAAGUGAAAGUUGAGACCUCUGUCGUGGAGGGCAUCGACGCCCGGACCUGACGUUUUCUGAAGGAUCCGCGGUAGAGCAUGUAUGUUGGGACCCGAAAGAUGGUGAACUAUGCCUGAAUAGGGUGAAGCCAGAGGAAACUCUGGUGGAGGCUCGUAGCGAUUCUGACGUGCAAAUCGAUCGUCAAAUUUGGGUAUAGGGGCGAAAGACUAAUCGAACCAUCUAGUAGCU
rnacentral:rRNA from 1 species